CUACAAGACGCAGACAGUUGAACUACAAAACAGACAGUAGACCUACAACACACAGACAGUAGAAAUACAACACACACACAUUAGGGAGACUACCAGAACUACAACACACAGACAGUAGAAAUACAACACACAGAUAGUAGGGAGCUCAAUAUCACUACCUUUACCCACUCUCCAACCUGCCACUGCAAUCUGAAUAGGGAUAGGAUGAAGUGAGAUGCAGCUAAGCACUGAUUUAAGGUGACAGAAGUGGCAUUAGAACAAUAUCAUCAUCCGGCUCAACAGGGAAGAGGGAGGAACUAAGACCGAGCUGCACGUAGCUAACUGAUGCAGACCUACGCCAAGGCAAUAUAGCUCCACCACCAGAAAAUCACAUCAGGGACACCAGAACAUUAUAUAGAGUUUGAGAGGACCUGAGCCCUAGGACCAUGCCUCAGAACUACCUGGCAUGACUCCUUGCUGUCCCCA